rnacentral:rRNA from 1 species
GACGAACGAUGGCGGCGUGCUUAACACAUGCAAGUCGAACGGAAAGGCCCCUUUGGGGGUACUCGAGUGGCGAACGGGUGAGUAACACGUGAGUAACCUGCCCUUGACUUCGGGAUAACUUCAGGAAACUGGGGCUAAUACCGGAUAGGAAUCCUUGCUGCAUGGUGGGGGUUGGAAAGCUUCGGCGGUUUUGGAUGGACUCGCGGCUUAUCAGCUUGUUGGUGGGGUAGUGGCUUACCAAGGCUUUGACGGGUAGCCGGCCUGAGAGGGCGACCGGCCACAUUGGGACUGAGAUACGGCCCAGACUCCUACGGGAGGCAGCAGUGGGGAAUAUUGCACAAUGGGCGGAAGCCUGAUGCAGCAACGCCGCGUGCGGGAUGACGGCCUUCGGGUUGUAAACCGCUUUCAGCAGGGGCGAAGCUUGUGGUGACGGUACCUGCAGAAGAAGCACCGGCUAACUACGUG